rnacentral:rRNA from 1 species
CCAGUAUUAGAGGCACUGCCUGCCCAGUGACACAUGUUUAACGGCCGCGGUAUCCUGACCGUGCAAAGGUAGCAUAAUCACUUGUUCUUUAAUUAAGGACUCGAAUGAAUGGCCAAACGAGGGUUAAACUGUCUCUUACUUUAGAUCAGUGAAAUUGACUUCCCCGUGAAGAGGCGGGGAUACAACAAUAAGACGAGAAGACCCUAUGGAGCUUAAAUUAAAUAACCCACACAGAUACAAAUAAACCUAGCCAACAGGCAUAACUACUAUCAACCCUUGGGUUAAAAAUUUCGGUUGGGGUGACCUCGGAGCACAAUAAAACCUCCGAACAAUUUUAACCUAGACUUCACCAGUCAAAGCAAACUAAAUUACCAACUGAUCCAAACUAAUUUGAUCAACGGAACAAGUUACCUAGGGAUAACAGCGCAAUCCUAUUAUAGAGUCCAUAUCGACAAUAGGGUUUACGACUCGAUGUUGGAUCAGGACACCCCAAUGGUGUAACCGCUAUUAACGGCCCGUUUGUUC